UGCUAAUUGCAUCCUCCGCUAAAAGUAUUUCGUGAAGACAAAUUUUCUCUCAUCAACUCUUCGUUUACCCUGAGCUCUAUACCAAC